rnacentral:tmRNA from 1 species
GGGGAUGUAACGAAUCGCCGAUUUAGCUCUUUAAAAACCGCAAGCCGAGAAUGACCAACCUCGUUAAACGCGUCAAAAAAACAAAUGCUAAAAAUUCAUUUAGCGAUUUAGAGGAAGCAUUCGCUAACCGCGAAUAUUUCUCUAGAGCCAAUUUUGCUUACGCACUCAAUGCAUAAGCAUUAAAGGCCAUUUUGUAAGUCUUUUUCCGAUGGGAUUUACAAGGUGCCAACACAGUCGGAAUGCAAUUUAAAAUAGUUCGACGUUCUAUUUUAAGUCAAGCUUAAUACGUCUAGCUUUAACUUUCCCGCCAAUUGGAACAGGUUAAAGUAAAAAAAUAAGUUGGCUAUGCUUGUAGAAGUUUUUGGAAAGUUUAUUUCGCACGAGGGUCACUCCCUCCAUCUCCACCA